GGAGAGGUGGCAGAGUGGUCGAUUGCGUCUGACUUGAAAUCAGAUGAACCCGCAAGGGUUCCGGGAGUUCGAAUCUCCCCUUCUCCG
rfam:Calothrix sp. PCC 7507, complete genome.